rnacentral:misc_RNA from 1 species
CGCACUUCUUCCUUCCAUUUAUUUAUCUCACCAGUAGCUUUCUCUGUUGCUAACUUAACUUCAGCCUCUUUUUUUUGAACUUGUUUUAGCUCAUUUUCUAAAGUACCAAUAGAAGUUUCCAAUUUCUUAAUUCGUGAGUCCAUGUCUCGCUUUUGCUCAUACUCCAACCUGAAAAUAAAAGUAAUGGAGGUGGAAAAGAACCAUUAUAUACAAAAGAAAUGGUAAAGUAACAUGAAAACAGCACGGAGGCAUUCUUUUCAAGUUCUAGAAAUAAGAUAGGGUCAAUCUCAGCCUAAGAGAGGUAGAACAUCGCACCAAGUUGAUAGCAUCACAUUAGUGUUACCAAUAUCUAUGGCAAAAUAAAAUGUUUAGAGAAAUUUCCUUGCACAUUCGCAUCUCUCACAUUUUCUAAUGUGUGUGUGAGUUCAUGGGUAUUUUUCACUAACAUGUGUAAUAUCUGAAACACAAAAACUAGACUAAAGAGUUUGAAUAGACAUUAGCAGUUCAUUGCCUUUCUUCAUAGUUACAGUACACCAUCAUUUACGCUAAGAAACAAAUGCUUAAGCAAAUGCUUUCAUUUCAUGCAUGUUAAGUCAGAUAAGAAGUGCUCAGCAGAUAACAUCUAAAUCCACCUCAUCUAAACCAUCAUAUUGGCCGAUGAAUGCCGAAAAAAUGUCUC